rnacentral:rRNA from 1 species
AGACCCGAAACCCGGUGAUCUAGCCAUGGGCAGGUUGAAGGUUGGGUAACACUAACUGGAGGACCGAACCGACUAAUGUUGAAAAAUUAGCGGAUGACCUGUGGCUGGGGGUGAAAGGCCAAUCAAACCGGGAGAUAGCUGGUUCUCCCCGAAAGCUAUUUAGGUAGCGCCUCGUGAAUUCAUCUCCGGGGGUAGAGCACUGUUUCGGCUAGGGGGCCAUCCCGGCUUACCAACCCGAUGCAAACUGCGAAUACCGGAGAAUGUUAUCACGGGAGACACACGGCGGGUGCUAACGUCCGUCGUGAAGAGGGAAACAACCCAGACCGCCAGCUAAGGUCCCAAAGUCAUGGUUAAGUGGGAAACGAUGUGGGAAGGCCCAGACAGCCAGGAUGUUGGCUUAGAAGCAGCCAUCAUUUAAAGAAAGCGUAAUAGCUCACUGGUCGAGUCGGCCUGCGCGGAAGAUGUAACGGGGCUAAACCAUGCACCGAAGCUGCGGCAGCGACGCUGAUGCGUUGUUGGGUAGGGGAGCGUUCUGUAAGCCUGCGAAGGUGGCCUGUGAGGGUUGCUGGAGGUAUCAGAAGUGCGAAUGCUGACAUAAGUAACGAUAAAGCGGGUGAAAAGCCCGCUCGCCGGAAGACCAAGGGUUCCUGUCCAACGUUAAUCGGGGCAGGGUGAGUCGACCCCUAAGGCGAGGCCGAAAGGCGUAGUCGAUGGGAAACGGGUUAAUAUUCCCGUACUUGGUGUUACUGCGAAGGGGGGACGGAGAAGGCUAUGUUGGCCGGGCGACGGUUGUCCCGGUUUAAGCGUGUAGGUGUGUGUUCCAGGUAAAUCCGGUUCACUUUAACACUGAGGCGUGACGACGAGGCACUACGGUGCUGAAGCAACAAAUGCCCUGCUUCCAGGAAAAGCCUCUAAGCAUCAGGUAACAUCAAAUCGUACCCCAAACCGACACAGGUGGUCAGGUAGAGAAUACCAAGGCGCUUGAGAGAACUCGGGUGAAGGAACUAGGCAAAAUGGUGCCGUAACUUCGGGAGAAGGCACGCUGACACGUAGGUGAAGUGAUUUACUCACGGAGCUGAAGUCAGUCGAAGAUACCAGCUGGCUGCAACUGUUUAUUAAAAACACAGCACUGUGCAAACACGAAAGUGGACGUAUACGGUGUGACGCCUGCCCGGUGCCGGAAGGUUAAUUGAUGGGGUCAGCGCAAGCGAAGCUCCUGAUCGAAGCCCCGGUAAACGGCGGCCGUAACUAUAACGGUCCUAAGGUAGCGAAAUUCCUUGUCGGGUAAGUUCCGACCUGCACGAAUGGCGUAAUGAUGGCCAGGCUGUCUCCACCCGAGACUCAGUGAAAUUGAACUCGCUGUGAAGAUGCAGUGUACCCGCGGCAAGACGGAAAGACCCCGUGAACCUUUACUAUAGCUUGACACUGAACAUUGAGCCUUGAUGUGUAGGAUAGGUGGGAGGCUUUGAAGUGUGGACGCCAGUCUGCAUGGAGCCGACCUUGAAAUACCACCCUUUAAUGUUUGAUGUUCUAACGUGGACCCGUAAUCCGGGUUGCGGACAGUGUCUGGUGGGUAGUUUGACUGGGGCGGUCUCCUCCUAAAGAGUAACGGAGGAGCACGAAGGUUGGCUAAUCCUGGUCGGACAUCAGGAGGUUAGUGCAAUGGCAUAAGCCAGCUUGACUGCGAGCGUGACGGCGCGAGCAGGUGCGAAAGCAGGUCAUAGUGAUCCGGUGGUUCUGAAUGGAAGGGCCAUCGCUCAACGGAUAAAAGGUACUCCGGGGAUAACAGGCUGAUACCGCCCAAGAGUUCAUAUCGACGGCGGUGUUUGGCACCUCGAUGUCGGCUCAUCACAUCCUGGGGCUGAAGUAGGUCCCAAGGGUAUGGCUGUUCGCCAUUUAAAGUGGUACGCGAGCUGGGUUUAGAACGUCGUGAGACAGUUCGGUCCCUAUCUGCCGUGGGCGCUGGAGAACUGAGGGGGGCUGCUCCUAGUACGAGAGGACCGGAGUGGACGCAUCACUGGUGUUCGGGUUGUCAUGCCAAUGGCACUGCCCGGUAGCUAAAUGCGGAAGAGAUAAGUGCUGAAAGCAUCUAAGCACGAAACUUGCCCCGA